AUAAUAUUCCAGUUAUAAGAUUUUGCUUUUCUUUGUUAAUAUUCAUCCUACCUGGUAUUCUCUAAGCUUUCUAAAUCUGUGGUUUGGUGUUUUGAUUUCUUCUAUAAAUUCUAACUAUUAACUAAAAUAUUCCUUCUGGUCUCUGAAAAAAUUAGAGUAUUCAAAGCAGGCCCGAGCUGCCUGGAUACUGCAGCUGGGAAUAAUGGAAUAGGACCGCGGUUCUAUUUUGUUGGUUUUCGGAACUGAGGCCAUGAUUAAGAGGGACGGCUGGGGGCAUUCGUAUUGCGCCGCUAGAACUGAAAUUCUUGGACCGGCGCAAGAUGGACCAGAGCAAAAUCAUUUGCCAAGAAUGUUUUCAUUAAUCAAGAACGAAAUUUGGAGGUUCGAAGACAAUCAGAUACUGUCGUAGUUCCGACCAUAAACUAUGCCAACUGGCGAUGCGGCGGCAUUAUUCCCAUGACCCGCUUGGCAGCUUCCGGGAAACCAAAGUCUUUGGGUUCUG
rnacentral:ncRNA from 1 species